rnacentral:tRNA from 2 species
GCCCGAGUGGCGGAAUUGGUAGACGCGCUGCACUCAAAAUGCAGUGGCUUUCGGGCCAUGCGGGUUCGAGUCCCGCCUUGGGCA